CCUACGGGGGGCAGCAGGCGCGAAAACUUUACAAUGCGGGAAACCGUGAUAAGGGGACACCGAGUGCCAGCGUCAUACGCUGGCUGUCCAGGUGUGUAAAAUACACCUGUUAGCAAGGGCCGGGCAAGACCGGUGCCAGCCGCCGCGGUAACACCGGCGGCCCGAGUGGUGAUCGUGAUUAUUGGGUCUAAAGGGUCCGUAGCCGGUUUGGUCAGUCCUCCGGGAAAUCUGACAGCUCAACUGUUAGGCUUUCGGGGGAUACUGCCAGACUUGGAACCGGGAGAGGUAAGAGGUACUACAG
rnacentral:rRNA from 1 species